UGCCCAACAGCUAGCCUCCCCAACAUAAAUUCAACAAAUCAAUAUUUUUAUCCCCUAAUUUACAUAAGGUAAUUAACCAAAUCAUUUUUCCCCCUUAGUAUUGUGCGACAGAAAAAGACAGAAGAGCUAUAGAAAA
rnacentral:rRNA from 1 species